CCUUACGCCCUGAACUUGCCGGUGUGCGUCCACCAGUGGCCCGUGUUGAACACCAGCACGUCGGCGGCGGCGAGCCGGCGAUACGUCGUCGCCGGGAGGCGGUCCAGCUUCAGCACCCUGGUCUGGUCGUCGAGGUCCACCAGGAACGGGCUCCAGUAGAACUCCACCGUGCACGGUCGGGCGCCGCGGCGUAGAGGAUGCAGGCGAGCGACUCCCACAUGUUGCGGUUGAGCGAGUCGCCGACGAGCACCACUCGCUUGUCCCGGCACUGCUCCAGCAUCUCCCCACCACGCAGCCUGAUAAAAAAGUGAAGCAUUAUUCAGUGCGACGUGUGCGAUUUGCAGAGGAUUACUCAUGGAGAAUCAACACGAUUAUUCCGCAGUGGCCACGCACCUGAGAGCGGCGGCGCACCGCCUGGGCUGCCACCGCCAGUGCUCGUAGCCGGAGUCCGGCCGGCCGUUCCUCCGGCAGGUGACCUGGUCGCUCAAGAAGGGGCACUCCCCGGCGUCGUAGAGCGGAUAGCCGGCCGGGUCGUACACCCAGCUGCCGUCGAACAGGUCGCACCGGACUUCAUCCUGGGCCGGCGCCGGCGAGCCAUCGGAAGCAGCAGCAGUAGCUGGGCUCGGCGCAGGUGCAG
rnacentral:sRNA from 1 species